AGCUGAGUUUGAUCCUGGCUCAGAUUGAACGCUGGCGGAAUGCUUUACACAUGCAAGUCGAACGGUAGAGGGGCAACCCCUUGAGAGUGGCGAACGGGUGAGUAAUAUAUCGGAACGUGCCCAGUCGUGGGGAUAACGUAGUGAAAAUUACGCUAAUACCGCAUACGAUCUAAGGAUGAAAGCGGGGAUCGCAAGACCUCGCGCGACUGGAGCGGCCGAUAUCAGAUUAGGUAGUUGGUGGGGUAAAGGCCACAACGGCGACGAUCAGUAGCUGGUCGUGAGAGGACGACCAGCCACACUGGGACGUGAGACACGGCCCACGACUCCUACGGGAGGCAGCAGUGGGGAAUUUGGUACGAAUGGCGCAAGCCUGAUCCAGCAAUGCCCGCGUGCAGGAAGAA
rnacentral:rRNA from 1 species